UGCUAUAAAAGUAGCUGAACUUUUUCUGAACACUAAUCACACGUCCUGCAUCUACAGCUUUAUUUUACAGGUGCUCCACCAUGUAUCCCUACGGACCAUAUAAUAACAAUCCGUCAGUAUGGUACAACCCCCCAUCUCCUUGGGUAGGAUAUUCCAGACCACUUUAUCCUCCAUAUAAUCCAGGCUACUGGAACUCUUGGUGGAGCAACAAUAGAUCCUGGAAUAAUAGACCCCAUCGACACCAUGGACACCAUGGACACCACUAGUGUGCACAGCUUAGCCACAGCAAAGACUGAACCUACUCAAUGAAUUUUCAUGGC